UACGUAGGGGGGCAAGCGUUUGUCCGGAAUUAUUGGGCGUAAAGAGCUCGUAGGCGGUCUGUCGCGUCUGCUGUGAAAACCUAGGGCUUAACUCUGGGCGUGCAGUGGGUACGGGCAGGCUAGAGUGCGGUAGGGGGAGACUGGAAUUCCUGGUGUAGCGGUGAAAUGCGCAGAUAUCAGGAGGAACACCGGUGGCGAAGGCGGGUCUCUGGGCCGUAACUGACGCUGAGGAGCGAAAGCAUGGGGAGCGAACAGG
rnacentral:rRNA from 1 species